rnacentral:rRNA from 1 species
AACGAACGCUGGCGGCAGGCUUAACACAUGCAAGUCGAACGCCCCGCAAGGGGAGUGGCAGACGGGUGAGUAACACGUGGGAACAUGCCCAAAGGUACGGAAUAUUCUCGGGAAACUGAGAGCAAUACCGUAUGUGCCCGAAAGGGGAAAGAUUUAUCGCCUUUGGAUUGGCCCGCGUCGGAUUAGCUAGUUGGUGGGGUAAAAGCCUACCAAGGCGACGAUCCGUAGCUGGUCUGAGAGGACGACCAGCCACACUGGGACUGAGACACGGCCCAGACUCCUACGGGAGGCAGCAGUGGGGAAUCUUGGACAAUGGGCGCAAGCCUGAUCCAGCCAUGCCGCGUGGAUGAUGAAGGCCCUAGGGUUGUAAAAUCCUUUCGUUGGGGACGAUAAUGACGGUACCCAAAGAAGAAGCGCCGGCUAACUUCGUG